rnacentral:lncRNA from 1 species
GUGACGCCCGGGCACUGAGAGGGCGGGGAGUGAUCGCCGGUGCAAGAGGCACGGACAAGGAGCGGCUCCUGGCAGGCUUCUAGUGGAAGGGGUACAUGGACGAAUNGAACAUACACCGGAAUGAGAGGGAUCUGGANACUGUAUAGGUAUGGGACUAUACAGUUGAAGGAUAGCUUAAAGGAAUUGAUUUGGCUACCCAUAUCACCAAAAUGCAUUUACUUUUCAGUAGCCUAACCCAUAAGAACUCCAUGGUUAAGCGUGCUUAGCCUGGAGUAAUUCUGGGAUGGGUGACCUUCCGGGAAGUUUUCCCGGAAAGUGUGCGAGUGAGGACAAAGCGGGAUGGGUGGCACACUGGAAAGUCUCGUGGUGAUGUGUGGGGGCAGUCAACAGUCCCUGUAAGUUGUCGGGGCGUUACAGAUGGUAUCAGAGCCUAGCCUCUCCCAGUACGGUGUGGUUCGAGGACGAACCAAGCGGAAGCUGGUGGGCAUGUGACGCCCGGGCACUGAGAGGGCGGGGAGUGAUCGCCGGUGCAAGAGGCACGGACAAGGAGCCACUAAUCUGGCCUUGUACCUCACUACAACACCUUAUGGAUUUAUUUUUGACUUAUAAAUCCAUUUCAGUGCUAUAGGUCUCUUGUUUGGAGGCAAUUUUGUCAGUUCCCA